rnacentral:rRNA from 1 species
CAAUAGCGUAUAUUAAAGUUGUUGCGGUUAAAAAGCUCGUAGUUGGAUUUCUGCUGAGAACGACCGGUCCGCCCAUUGGGUGUGUAUCUGGCUCUUUCUUGGCAUCUUCUUGGUGAACGUUACUGCACUUGACUGUGUGGAGCGCUACCCAGGACUUUUACUUUGAGGAAAUUAGAGUGUUUCAAGCAGGCAUACGCCUUGAAUACGUUAGCAUGGAAUAAUAAGAUAGGACCUCGGUUCUAUUUUGUUGGUUUCUAGAGCUGAGGUAAUGAUUAAUAGGGAUAGUUGGGGGCAUUCGUAUUUAACUGUCAGAGGUGAAAUUCUUGGAUUUGUUAAAGACGGACUACUGCAAAAGCAUUUGCCAAGGAUGUUUUCAUUGA